rnacentral:snoRNA from 15 species
UCCUUCUUGUAUAAGCACUGUGCUAAAAUUACAGAAACUGGGGCACUGUCUUGGUUUUUGUAAUAAUGCUAGCAGAGUACACACAGGAAGGAAAUUGAAACUGCACCCGGUCUGGAAAGACUGGGGCGGACCUCUUUCUUAAUGUCCAAUGUCCUUCGUCUUAAGAUUUGGUGCGAUAAAU